AUGCGUUGGUUGAUCCGGAGACAUGGCCACUACUGGCCUACGGUCCUGUCAGAUUGCAUAGCACAUGCUAAGAGCUGCGAUGCCUGCCAGAGGUAUAGACUCAGCGCAAGCCGGCUUCCGAGUUAUACCCGAUUAUCAAGCCUUGGCCAUUUCGAGGUUGGGCCCAGGAAUAGUGAGUUGAUAUUCGCUGAUAUGCUUAGCGAGAAUACUUCGCAGCCGCAAUACCAAGAUGGGCUCAGAUUUUGUGAACCAGAACUCUGCUGUACAACUAGCUGCUGCGAUCACAGCCUCAGCUAG